rnacentral:rRNA from 1 species
UACGUAGGUGGCAAGCGUUGUCCGGAUUUACUGGGCGUAAAGAGCGCGCAGGCGGUCGUUCAAGUCGAGGGUGAAAGCCCCCGGCUCAACUGGGGAGGGUCACUCGAUACUGAUCGACUCGAAGGCAGGAGAGGGAAGUGGAAUUCCCGGUGUAGUGGUGAAAUGCGUAGAUAUCGGGAGGAACACCAGUGGCGAAGGCGACUUCCUGGCCUGUUCUUGACGCUGAGGCGCGAAAGCUAGGGGAGCAAACGGG